GGGCGUGCACGCCGCCGUGCACGAUCUGGACAGGGACCCCCGGGGCCGGGAGAUGGAGCGGGAGCUCGCCAGGAGGCUCGGCGGCGGCGCCGGGCGCGGUGGCAGCACACCGACCGUGCCGGCGGUGUUCGUAGGCGGCGACCUCGUCGGCGGGAUUAACAGGGUCCUGGCGCUGCACCUCAGCGACGAGCUCGUGCGCAUGCUCAGGAACGCCGGCGCGAUCUGCCCAUGCUAGAAUAGUGAAGUCAACCGUGACAAUUGCUCGAAAAUAAUGGAGGGAGUAACUAAACCUCUGUAAUUAUUCUUCUCGUUUGAAUUUAGAUAUAACCGCUAAUAGUAUGUUGCUAUGCAAUUAUGCAGUUAAUAUCAAAUUGAAUUGUGUGUAAUGAAUUAAUCUGCUGAAUGCGGAUACGAGAAACAGUCGUUGACCCAACUCCUCAAGAAUCAAGAGGUGAUACGUUGCCCUUGAGAUGGUCGAGGGGAUCAACGUUUGAGCUACUGGUUUGGACAAAUUUUGACUGAAAUUUUAAAAUCUAAAUGAAUUCGUCCCAAAAAUUUCCGGCACUGCCAAAAUUCAAAGGCAAUCUGCACAGUGGAGUCGGCAGCCCGGCAGCACACCACAUAGAGCAUCGAACAGCACAAAUUCCAUCGACUGAAACUAAUUCAAGGCCUUCACGCCUUCAUUACACCAUCAACCGAACACAAGUUCAGUAGACUCUAGUCAGCGCAGCGACCAGUGACAAACUCACAAACAAUGACUGAAACCGUAAAGGCAAAGGCAGAUUGACACCACAAAGGAAUUUCAGCAUUUCCAUUAUGCAAUAGUGCAUUUCUACUCAUCUAAUCAUCUCUGGAAUCAGAAGAAUCAGAAAUGUGCAUCAAGCUGCCAAUCAUCACGCAUCAGACCUGAGUUUCUUCUUCCUAGGUCACCUCUUCCUUUUUUUUCUUGUGGUCGUGAGUUCGUGACAUCGAUGCUCCAGUGGCUGUGAUGCUCCAGCUCCAUCUUGUCCACUUUCAUGAACUUCCUUUUCUUCUGCAUUUGCAAUUGGUACAGUCCAAAGUAACCAGCUCCAGAAGAACAUCAUUUAUUUCCUUCUCUAUGGGAUCUCUGCUCCUGUUCUCAUUCUUUUGCCUUAGUUUGGAGUUAAAUGCACAAAAUGCAAGAUCCCUCAUCCUACCAUGAAGUAAUAGAUGAAAUAAUGGGCUUCGCCCAUUUCAAUUUCAGAAAUUCCAAAUAAAUCUCAAAAGCCCAUGUGGGAAUGAGCAAGUGGUUGAAGUGGUGCAAACCUUUAGUCCCACAUUGCUAGUGGAAGAGAAGGAUGGCCAACAUAAAUAUGGAGGUUGUCUUCACUCCUCCAAGCUAUGUGUGUGGGGAGAGAAGGAAAGCUCCACACGCGCACGCUCGCUCGCCGCACCACACAGGGCGAAGGGCGCGGGCGUGUGACACCUGCGUGAAUGGUCGACCGAAAUCCGGCCUCCAACCUUGCGGUGGCGAGCAAACGGGAGAGCAGGUCUCCGAAACCUCUCGCUCUUGUGAUCCUACACGGGGAGAGGGCAAAUAAGGUUUUUGGAAGCGCUCCGCGCGACUGCUCAAGGUCUUCACCAUGGCUUGUCCUUCGUCCAAGUCUGGCGUUGUGGGCGUACCAUCAUCUUCGACGUCGUCUGUUGCGCUCCAUCCGCAACACCGUCAUCGUUCCGUCAGCACCGCUUGUCAUCACGGCUGCACCUGCUAAGUACGUACGUCGUGAUCCAAUCUGUUAUUUCAGCAUGUUUUCUAAGAUCAUGAAGUUGUGCACCUGCACCGCUUGCCAAGAAGAAGAAUAAGUCUAAGAUGAACUGCUACACUUGUGGUGAGCUUGGACACUUCUCUAAGCAUUGUCCAAAUCAUGCAGACCGCAAGGGCAAAAGGGCCAAUGGGUCUAAGUAUGUCGACAUGGUGACCAUAGGCAACACUGGAGAUGGGUACGGUAAUCUACCUACUGUUCUUUCAGUUUUUCAUUCCACUAGUUGGUGGUUUGAUACGGGUGCCAAUGUUCAUGUGUGUGCUGACAUCUCCAUGUUUUCCUCUUACCAGGUCACCCAGGAUUUCUCCGUGCUAAUGGGGAAUGGGUCACAUGCUACUGUUCAUGGUGUUGGUACGGUAGAUCUGAAGUUUACUUCGGAAUUUCUCUGUGCUGAUGGGGAAUGGGUCACAUGCUGUUGUUCAUGGUAUUGGUACGGUAGAUCUAAAGUUACUUCGGGGAAGAUCGUGCAACUGAGGAACGUGCAUCAUGUCCCUACCAUCAACAAGAGUCUUGUGAGCGGGUCGGUCCCGUGCAAGGACGGGUUUAAGGUAGUGUUAGAGUCCAAUAAAUUAGUCAUGUCAAAACAUGGACAAUUCGUUGGUAAAGGCUAUGAGUGCGGAGGCUUGUUCUGCUUUUCCCUUGCAGACUUCUGUAAUAAGUCCGUGAACCAUAUUUGCGGCAACGUUAGUGUGAUGCGAGUACUUGGCAUUCACGUUUGUGCCAUAUUAAUUUUUGUUUAAUGUCUCGGCUUUCCAGCAUGUGUUUAAUUCCAAACCUCACCAUUGACAAAGGUUCUAAGUGCCAUAGUUGUGUGCAAUCGAAGCAACCUCGGAAGCCUCACAAGGCGGCUGAGGAGAGACACUUGGCACCUCUAGAACUCAUACAUUCUGAUAUGUGCGAGAUGAAUGGUGUGUUGACAAAAGGUGGAAAAAGAUACUUCAUGACAUUGAUUGAUGAUGUGACUAGAUUUUUCUAUGUUUACUUGUUGCAAACUAAGGAUGAAGCAUUAGACUACUUUAAAAUUUAUAAGGCUGAGGUUGAGAAUCAACUUGAGAGAAAGAUCAAGUGUCUAAGGCCUGAUCAUGGUGGUGAGUAUUUUCCAAAAAUCUUUGAUGAAUUCUGUGAGGAACAUGGUAUUAUUCAUGAGAGGACACCUCCCUAUUCGCUCGAGUCCAACGGGGUUGCUGAGAGGAAAAACCACACACUGACUGACUUAGUUAAUUCCAUGUUAGAUACUACCAGUUUAUCUAAGGUAUGGUGGGGAGACUCUAUUGACUUCAUGUCAUGUCCCGAAUAGAGUUCCGAACAAGAAUAAAGAUCAAACUUCAUAUAAGAUGUGGAUCGGGAGAAAACCGUCACUUUCUUAUUUGCGUACUUGGGGCUGCUUGGCGAAAGUCAAUGUACCCAUUCCGAAGAAGCGCAAGUUAGGACCUAAGACAAUAGAUUGUGUCUUUCUAGGAUAUGCUCAAAGGAGCAUUGCUUAUAGAUUUUUAGUGGUUAAAUCUGAGAUCCCUGAUAUGCAUGUUGAUACUAUUAUGGAAUCUCAUGAUGCAACAUUUUUUCAGAAUAUAUUUCCUCUUAAAGAUAUGCAUAGCAACUCUAGAUUUUCUGUUGAAAUAACUUCUGAACCUACUGCACCUGUUGAGUCUUCUGAACAACCCGAUGAGCAUUAGCAUGAGGACGUCCUAUAGAAGGAUGACAGUGAAGCUCCUAGAAGAAGCAAGAGAUAGAGGGUUGCAAAAUCCUUUGGUGAUGAUUUCACUAUGUACCUUGUGGACAAUACUCCUACGUCCAUCAUUGAGGCAUAUGCAUCUCCAGAUGCAGACGAUUGGAAAGAAGUUGUCCAAAGUGAGAUAGAUUCGAUUCUUUCUAAUAGGACAUGGGAGCUCACUGAACGACUCUACGGUUGCAAACCAGUGGGUUGUAAAUGGGUGUUCAAGAAGAAGUUUAGGCCUGAUGGUACUAUUGAAAAGUACAAGGCUAGACUUGUGGCCAAAGGUUACACACAAAAAGAAGGUGAAGACUUCUUCGAUACCUAUUCAUCUGAUCGCUAGACUGACCUCUAUUCAAGCACUACUUUCUCUGGCUGCCUCGUAUAGUCUUAUCGUCCACCAGAUGGAUGUAAAGACAACUUUUCUAAAUGGAGAGUUGGAUGAGGAGCUCUAUAUGGAUCAGCCUGAUGGGUUUGUGGUAAACGGUCAAGGGAGCAAGGUGUGUAAGUUGUUGAAGUCUUUGUAUGGCCUGAAAGAAGCACCUAAGUAAUGGCAUGAUAAUUUUGACAGAACUUUAACUUCUGCGGGCUUUGUCAUUAAUGAGAUUGAUAGAUGUGUGUACCAUCGCCAUGGUGGGGGUGAAGGGUUAUAUUAUGCUUGUAUGUGGAUGACAUACUGAUCUUUGGCACAAACAUUGAUGUGAUUAAUGAGGUCAAGUAUUUUCUAUCACGGAACUUUGAUAUGAAAGAUCUGGGAGAAGCUGAUGUUAUUCUAAACAUCAAGCUGAUUAAGUAUGAGAAUAGGAUUACUCUUUUGCAAUCCCAUUACGUGGAGAAGGUCUUGAACCAUUUUGUUUAUAUAGAUAGCAAGCCUUCUCCAACACCUUAUGAUCCCAGCGUGAUACUCAAAAAGAACAAGAAAACUGCUAAAGACCAAUUGAGAUAUUCUCAGAUUGUCGGAUCACUCAUUUACUUAGGUAGCGCAACAAGACCCGACAUAGCUUUUGCUGUGAACAAAUUGAGUAGGUUCAUGUCAAUCCCGGGGUCUGAUCAUUGGCAUGCACUUGAAAGGGUUAUGCGCUACUUGGUGGGUACUAUGAGUUAUGGGAUUCACUAUUCCGAGCACCCUGCUGUGCUUGAGGGAUAUAGUGAUUCGAACUAGAUUUUGGAUGCUGAUGACCUAUAUGCCACGAGUGGGCAUGUGUUUACCCUUGGAGGUGGUGCAAUAUCAUGGAGGUCUUGCAAACAGACCAUUCUGACGAGGUCAACCAUGGAAACAAAACUUACUGCUUUGGAAACAGCCACUGUUGAGGCAGAAUAGCUGCGUGAUCUCUUGAUGGACUUGCCUAUAGUUGAUAAACCAAUACCGGCAAUCCUUAUGAACUGUGACAAUCAAACGGUGAUAGUUAAAGUGAACAGUGCUAAGGAUAACGCAAAAUCAUCAAGAUAUGUCAAGAGACGACUGAAGUCUAGCAGAAAGUUGAGAAACUCCGGAGUAAUAAGUGUGACUUAUAUUCAAACAGAUAAAAAUCUGGCAUAUCUCUUUACAAAAGGGCUAUCACGGAAUGUGAUAGAAUGUACAUGAAGGGAGAUGGAUAUGAGACCCGUUUAAGUUGCCGUAGUGGUAGCCCAACCUAUGUGAUUGGAGAUCACGUGAAUUAGGAUAUGGGAAAAACAAGCUGUCGGUUGACUGAGGAGAGUAAAUUAUUAAACUCUCUCUAUAUAAAAAUGCAAUACUCUCAAAUGCUGCAAGGAAGGUUAGCAAUGUGCUUUAAUGUGCUUCUAUUGACUUGAUUAAGCGAAGAUGCUGUCCUACAAAGCAUUCUUGAAAGAACACACAUAUAUGAGCCUGACUAUACAACAUCGCAGUCUAUGAGACUUGGGUGAUCUCUAGUAAUCUCAUGAAGAGACCAAGGAGUAUGACGAAUAUGCUUCACCUGUGGGGUAGGCUACUGGCAGCGAGGUACUAGUUCCAACUCUGAGUGAAACUUGUCCGCACAAAACUUGAAAUUCAAGGCUUAGUCCAUUGUUAAGUUAUGGAUGAAUGUAACUUGAAGCUCUAGGCGAGAGUUCAACUUAAUAGUUCUUGCUGAAACACUAGUAUAUAAACUGUAAGGAGAAACAGGCAAAAUCUCUGAUAGACUUUUGAGAUCUUUUGGGGGAUUGAUGAAAUAAUGGGCUUGUCCCAUUUCAAUUUAAGAAAUUCCAAAUAAAUCUCAAAGGCCCAUGUGGGAAUGAGCAAGUGGUCGGAGUGGUGCAAACCUUUUGUCCCACAUUGCUAGUGGAGGAGAAGGAUGGCCAACAUAAAUAUAGAGGUUGUCUCCACUCCUCCAAGCUAUGUGUGUGGGGAGAAAAGGAAAGCUCCACAUGCACGCGCUCGCUCUCCAUGCCACGCCUCGCCGGGCGGGGCGAAGGGCGCGGGCAUGCGACACCUGCGUGAAUGGUCCACCGAAAUCCAACGUCCAACCUUGCGGUGGCGUGGUUUCCUUGUGCCAUUUUAUUUUUUGUUACUUGGUCUUUAAGUCAGUGAGAUAUAUGGAAGCCUAAUCGGUUUAGAUCACGAUCGCGACGUGAGAUCGUGGGUUCUCCUCUAUAUACGACCUAUCGGCCUCUACCGAAAAGACAUCUAAUCGAGCUAGGGUUUUGCCUCUUCUCGCUGCUGUGGCGCCACCGUAGUCUACUCCAUCUCGAGCACCGGCGCGCACCGACGAACAGGAGAGUAGGUCUCCGGAACAUCUCGCUCUUGUGAUCCUGCACCGGGAGAGGGCGAAUAACGGUUUUGGAAAACGCUCCGCGCGACUGCUCAAGGUCUUCACCACGGCUCGUCCUCCGUCCAAAUCAGGCUUUGCGGCGUACAUCGUCUUCAACAUCGUCCGCUGCGCUCCGUCUGCAACAGCGUCGUCAUUUCGUCAGCACCGCUUGUCAUCAGAGCUCACCCGCUAAGUACGUACGCCGUGAUCCAAUCUGUUAUUUCAGCAUGUUUUCUGAGAUCAUGAAGCUGUGCUUGUUGUUGCCUUGUAUGUUAGAGAAUCGCAUGCUAGGUUUUAUUCUUGUUAUGAUAAAUCUAGUUCGGAAAUUAAUCAUGCAGUUGUCUAAUUUUCCAACCGUAGUUUGUUGGCAUUCUUUGUGGUGAACCGCGCCAUGCCAAACGCCUGCAUGUGACAUAGAGGUCGUAUUGAAGAUGUUGUCAGGAACAAAUGGUGAACACCUUCAGCGAGACAAGAUAUAUAGCAAACUGGGAAGAUUUAUCUAGUACGGUCGAAUUGUGUGAUGAUUUGAUGAGCAAGAAUGGUGAAACUAUACAAGGACAAGAGAGUCCACUACGGAAAAAGGAAGUGUGACUGAGGGAGGGGCCGAAUGCGAGUGCAACCUAUCUGUAUGAAUAUUCAAUUCUGGACCUGAAGAUUGAUAUAAAGUGGCUGCUCUUAGCCGAAGGGAUCAGAUCCUUCUGUCAUACUGUCAUGUGACGAAGCAUCGCCGCGUUGUUGUCGGCACAUUUGCUUUUCCUAUGGACUUCUGUAUUAAUUUAAACUCGAGCUCAAAGACCGACCUGAGCUCUAAAGUUAAGCAGUGACGCAGGAAACACUCACUUUUUCACACAGCUGAAGGAAAUAGCAUGUGUAUUGCACUCAGACUGCUAACAACAGCAGAACAAAGGUUCACUGUGCUCUCGCUGCUUUUCAGCUUGUCAACAAUAUAUUACAAACAGUAUGCUAACAUCUGCACUUGGUCUGUAUUUGAAUCUUGAAGUGCAGGUAUGUGUUAUUAAUAAGUCUUCUUUUCAAGAUUGUUAUAAAACAGUGGCUGAACAAAAUCUUUUUUCUCUCUUGAGAUAUUUCCAGAUUUUUUUUUUCUCUCUUCAUUGCCCCUCACCUUUACUUUCGUCUCAGAUAUGCUUUUGCAGAUCAUAGAAUGUAGCCCCUUGCAUACAUGAGGAGCCAGGAACUGAUCAAGCUCAGGAAGGAAUCUCAAGAUGCAAAGUUCCACACAUGGUCCGCACUGCGAGGACAGAUCUUGAGGAUAAGGAUACAUGUCUAUCCAGAUAUUCUCCAUUGUCGUCUGCUGGUUCCAGAGGUUUGCAUCAUAUACAAGAGAAGAUGUGAAGAUGCAUCGCGGCUUAUCAACGGUGACUGUUCCAUAGCAUCAUUUAAACAGCAUGCUCUUGCUGAUAUGCAAUGCAAGGUUCUGCUGCGUCUUGCUGAUAAGGAUGAUGCGGCUUGUUAAAGGUGGAAGUCUUCAGAGAGAACCAGACAUAGCAAAUUGGGUGUCUGACUGAAGAUUUGUUCACUAAGAAUGGUGUGAAACUGUUCAGAAGCAACGUGAGAAUGCAAAUGGGGCAGAUUCUGGCGCCACGGAUAAGGUCAGAAGAGAGACUGACUGUGGAUGAUGAAAGUCGUCAGAGAUAACAAGACAUUGCAAAAUGGGUGUCUGACUGAAGAUUCAUUCACUAAGAAUGGUGAAACUAUUCAGAAACAACUUGAGAAUGCAAAUGGGCAGAUUCUGACGCUACGGACAAGGUCAGAAGAGAGAGUGACCGUGUGAGGGGGACUGAAUGAGACCGUAGGCCCUCUGUCUGAAGAUGCCAUUCUGUACCUGAAGAACAGGGGCUUGAUCCCUCCAAUACAAAGUGGUUGUUCUUAGCCGGAGGAAUCAGAUCCUGCUGUCAUACUGUCAUGUGACGAAGCGUCGCCGUGUUGUUGUCGGCACUUUUGAUUUUUCUAUGGACUUCUGUACUUAACACUCGGACUCAAAAGGUCUGAACUCUCAAGUUAGCAGUGAUGCAGGCCAGCAUUCAGACUUUCACAGAACUGAAGAACACUACAACUACUAGGUAAUGGAAAUGACAUACAUUGCAUCAGAGGUUUUCAGUGAUUACAAGGUUCAGAAUUCAGACCCUAUAUCAACAAAGCAGAGAAAAAUUUCACUGUUCUCAUUGUUCUAUUUUUGAGCUAUUCAACCAUGUCUUACUAGUAUGUUAACGUGUGUACUUGAUCAGUAUCGGAAUCUGUAAGUGCAUACAUAUACUCUCAAGAUUGUAUGAUUAUAAAUUGUGACUGAACAAUUUAUUUCUACCCUAAAGAAAAUCCACAAAUAUACGUUUGUGUAUAGUCCUAUCCUCAUUUGAAAAGAUCCAUUUGUUUUUUCAGAUUUUAGCAUUGGAAUUUCGGCAUGAGGUCAACUCGUGUUAUGAGGAAAGAUUCUAGUGCUCCAAGGCCCUCAUGCAUGAACACACACACGGAUUCUUAUCCAAAACUAGCUAUCCAAUCUUUAACUGGCCUGCACUCUACCAGAAGAAUCAUUUUUCAGUUACACAUGAACCAAAUCUAGCUAUAUAUGUUCCAUAUGCACAUAAAAGAAUAUAACAUGCUUAGAAAAUGCUAUGAUCUCAUUAGCAAAAAAAAAAUGAAAAUGCUAUGAUAUGGUUGUUCAGAAUCUUACAAUAAUCCACUGCAGAUAGGCACACAUACUGACAUCUUUUUCUAGCCUAUAAAAGGAAGCCAUGGCCAGCACCAAGAAACCAGACCAGUCAACUUUUGCAGACCAUCUACAACUCUAAAGAGGGACGAGUCUAGAACCUUCCGGGGCACCAGACCAUUGAAGUGAUGGACCGCGUUGCGAGGCUGGUGUCGGAGCGGGCGGUGGUGGUGUUCACGGCGAGCAACUGCAGCAUGUGCGACGUCGUGACGUCGCUGCUGGGCAGCCUGGGCGUGAACGCUGCCGUGCACGAUCUGGACAGGGACCCCCGGGGCCGGGAGAUGGAGCGGGAGCUCGCCAGGAGGCUGGGCGGCGGCUCCGGGCCCGGUGGCAGCACACCGACCGUGCCGGCGGUGUUCGUGGGCGGCGACCUCGUCGGUGGGACCAACAGGGUCAUGGCGCUGCACCUCGCCGGCGAGCUCGUGCCCAUGCUCAGGAACGCCGGCGCGCUCUGGCUGUAGAGAAAUUGAUCGAGAACGUCCAAGCGCGUGCAUGGCAUGCACACGCGU
rnacentral:lncRNA from 1 species